rnacentral:SRP_RNA from 1 species
GGGCAGGUCGGGCGGCGGAGGCGCUGCCAACCCCGUCAGGUCCGAAAGGAAGCAGCGGCAACAGUGGCUUCCGGGUGUCCGACCUGUUAGAA